rnacentral:ncRNA from 5 species
GAAGACCCUGUUGAGCUUGACUC